AUUGAACGCUGGCGGCAGGCCUAGCACAUGCAAGUCGAACGGUAGCACAGAGAGCUUGCUCUCGGGUGACGAGUGGCGGACGGGUGAGCAAUGUCUGGGAAACUGCCCGAUGGAGGGGGAUAACUACUGGAAACGGUAGCUAAUACCGCAUAACGUCGCAAGACCAAAGUGGGGGACCUUCGGGCCUCACACCAUCGGAUGUGCCCAGAUGGGAUUAGCUAGUAGGUGGGGUAAUGGCUCACCUAGGCGACGAUCCCUAGCUGGUCUGAGAGGAUGACCAGCCACACUGGAACUGAGACACGGUCCAGACUCCUACGGGAGGCAGCAGUGGGGAAUAUUGCACAAUGGGCGCAAGCCUGAUGCAGCCAUGCCGCGUGUAUGAAGAAGGCCUUCGGGUUGUAAAGCACUUUCAGCGGGGAGGAAGGCGGUGGAGUUAAUAACUUCACCGAUUGACGUUACCCGCAGAAGAAGCACCGGCUAACUCCGUGCCAGCCGCCGCGGUAA
rnacentral:rRNA from 1 species